rnacentral:rRNA from 1 species
UACGUAGGGCGCAAGCGUUGUCCGGAAUUAUUGGGCGUAAAGAGCUCGUAGGCGGUUUGUCACGUCUGCCGUGAAAGUCCGGGGCUCAACUCCGGAUCUGCGGUGGGUACGGGCAGACUAGAGUGAUGUAGGGGAGACUGGAAUUCCUGGUGUAGCGGUGAAAUGCGCAGAUAUCAGGAGGAACACCGAUGGCGAAGGCAGGUCUCUGGGCAUUAACUGACGCUGAGGAGCGAAAGCAUGGGGAGCGAACAGG